CCUACGGGCGGCAGCAGUGGGGAAUAUUGGACAAUGGGGGCAACCCUGAUCCAGCCAUGCCGCGUGUGUGAAGAAGGCCCUCGGGUUGUAAAGCACUUUCAGUGAGGAAGAACGCCUGGUGGUUAAUACCCAUCAGGAAAGACAUCACUCACAGAAGAAGCACCGGCUAACUCCGUGCCAGCAGCCGCGGUAAUACGGAGGGUGCGAGCGUUAAUCGGAAUUACUGGGCGUAAAGCGCGCGUAGGUGGCUUGAUAAGCCGGUUGUGAAAGCCCCGGGCUCAACCUGGAAACGGCAUCCGGAACUGUCAAGCUAGAGUGCAGGAGAGGAAGGUAGAAUUCCCGGUGUAGCGGUGAAAUGCGUAGAGAUCGGGAGGAAUACCAGUGGCGAAGGCGGCCUUCUGGACUGACACUGACACUGAGGUGCGAAAGCGUGGGUAGCAAACAGGAUUAGAUACCCCAGUAGUC
rnacentral:rRNA from 1 species